GGGUUGUGAGGUUAAGCGACUAAGCGUACACGGUGGAUGCCCAGGCAGUCAGAGGCGAUGAAGGACGUGCUAAUCUGCGUAAAGCGACGGUAAGGUGAUAUGAACCGCUACAGCCGUCGAUGUCCGAAUGGGGAAACCCGGUGCACUCUGUGCAUCAUUGCAGCAUGAAUACAUAGUGCUGCAAGGCGAACCGGGGGAACUGAAACAUCUAAGUACCCCGAGGAAAAGAAAUCAACCGAGAUUCCCCCAGUAGCGGCGAGCGAACGGGGAGCAGCCCAGAGCCUGAAUCAGCAUGUGUGUUAGUGGAAGCGUCUGGAAAGUCGCAGGGUACAGGGUGAUACUCCCGUACACAAAAACGCAUAUGCUGUGAGCUCGAUGAGUAAGGCGGGACACGUGGUAUCCUGUCUGAAUAUGGGGGGACCAUCCUCCAAGGCUAAAUACUCCUGACUGACCGAUAGUGAACCAGUACCGUGAGGGAAAGGCGAAAAGAACCCCGGCGAGGGGAGUGAAACAGAACCUGAAACCGUGUACGUACAAGCAGUGGGAGCCUUCUUUAUGGGGGUGACUGCGUACCUUUUGUAUAAUGGGUCAGCGACUUAUAUUCUGUAGCAAGGUUAACCGUAUAGGGGAGCCGCAGGGAAACCGAGUCUUAACUGGGCGUUAAGUUGCAGGGUAUAGACCCGAAACCCGGUGAUCUAGCCAUGGGCAGGUUGAAGGUUGGGUAACACUAACUGGAGGACCGAACCGACUAAUGUUGAAAAAUUAGCGGAUGACCUGUGGCUGGGGGUGAAAGGCCAAUCAAACCGGGAGAUAGCUGGUUCUCCCCGAAAGCUAUUUAGGUAGCGCCUCGUGAACUCAUCUUCGGGGGUAGAGCACUGUUUCGGCUAGGGGGCCAUCCCGGCUUACCAACCCGAUGCAAACUGCGAAUACCGAAGAAUGUUAUCACGGGAGACACACGGCGGGUGCUAACGUCCGUCGUGAAGAGGGAAACAACCCAGACCGCCAGCUAAGGUCCCAAAGUCAUGGUUAAGUGGGAAACGAUGUGGGAAGGCACAGACAGCCAGGAUGUUGGCUUAGAAGCAGCCAUCAUUUAAAGAAAGCGUAAUAGCUCACUGGUCGAGUCGGCCUGCGCGGAAGAUGUAACGGGGCUAAACCAUGCACCGAAGCUGCGGCAGCGACACUAUGUGUUGUUGGGUAGGGGAGCGUUCUGUAAGCCGUCGAAGGUGUGCUGUGAGGCAUGC
rnacentral:rRNA from 1 species